AACGAACGCUGGCGGCAGGCCUAACACAUGCAAGUCGAGCGAGGACUUCGGUUCUAGCGGCGGACGGGUGAGUAACGCGUGGGAAUGUGCCCUUCUCUACGGAAUAGCCCUGGGAAACUGGGAGUAAUACCGUAUACGCCCUAUUGGGGAAAGAUUUAUCGGAGAAGGAUCAGCCCGCGUUGGAUUAGGUAGUUGGUGGGGUAAUGGCCUACCAAGCCGACGAUCCAUAGCUGGUUUGAGAGGAUGAUCAGCCACACUGGGACUGAGACACGGCCCAGACUCCUUCGGGAGGCAGCAGUGGGGAAUCUUAGACAAUGGGGGCAACCCUGAUCUAGCCAUGCCGCGUGAGUGAUGAAGGCCUUAGGGUUGUAAAGCUCUUUCAGCUGGGAAGAUAAUGACGGUACCAGCAGAAGAAGCCCCGGCUAACUCCGUG
rnacentral:rRNA from 1 species